UGGAAGUGAUUCAUAUACUCUUUUAUGUUUUGGAACUUACAAUAAAUUUUAGGGUUAAAUGCAGAAAACACCCAUGAACUUUCAUGGAAGUUGCACAAAACACACGAAAUAUGUUUAUAGGCAUUUUGCACCCUGAGAAAACAACCGUUCACACAUUUCACGGUGAAACAAAACGCGUGGAAGCCACUUUCUGUCCGUUGAAUUUGCUGACAGAAUUGUCCUCUUUCGAGUGAAUAUAAAUGAGAAUCACCUACCAUCACUUCUCAUUUCCCCCCUUGUAUUUCCUCUUCUUCACAGAUGCACAAUUCUUUUUCAACUCACAUGGAACACAGUCCAAAUAGUUGCAGCUCAAGCAAUGCCUAUGAAGCAACAAACUUCAACUAUUAAAUAAAGUGAUCUAAUCCUUCAAUAUGGCUUAUCUUUAUCUCAAAAAACAUUUCAUCCAACCGUAGAACAAUGAUUUAACCAUGGUGGAAAUAAUUGACUCAAAAUACUUUACAUAAAAGCAGAAGCUUCUAAAUUAGCACAAGCAAUACAAAUGGUCUCUCAAGUCUCAAGCUCAACCAAGGGAAGUGCAGUCAAAUAAAAGCUGUGUUCCAACAAUGAACAAAAAGAAAAAAAAAAGUGAAAAGAAGACGCGGAAGAACAAAGCCACAAAUUAAAAAACCAAAGCCAGCCCAAUAAAUUAGCUAACAACCAAAUGAAAGACUAAAAAAAAAAAAUCACAGAGAAAAAUGAACAAAUUUCUGAGCUACUUGAAAUACCAAAAAAAUAAAAGCCUGAAACAAUAAAGGAAAAAGCAUAGCAAAACUCAACAAUCAAAAUCUCACAUUCAGAAAGCAACAACGAAGAAAAAAAUGUAAAAUUAAAAACUCACCCAUGAAUGCUAGACGUCGGAACAAACCCAGUGGCAAUUGUUAAACAACACAACUUGAACUCUACUACUGAUUGAAAGCAGCGGCGAACAAAAGGGAAACAGUUGCAAGCUUCACCGUUUACCGCCAACCACUGCUCUCGAUCAUUAAUUUAUCACGGCGAGGAGAACAUAAAACCAACUAGUAAAAAACAACAAUGAACUGCCAGCAGAACGAGGGCAUAAAACUACAAGUUUGGGCAUCCAGAUCCACACAAAAAGGGUAAAAAGUCGAUUAAAUAAAGAAAAAAUUAGGGCUUUGCUUAUUACCUGAUUUGCUGAGAUACUUUAAAUAUUCCACUUGUUUUAGAUUCUUCAAACCGACUUUUGCCCACUUCUAGUUACCCUCUGCAGUUAUUCGGCUUUGGUUCU
rnacentral:lncRNA from 1 species